ACGAAACGAGAAGUCGACUCGCCUCUCGGCGUCCGGCCCUCCGCGAGCACCCGAGGGGGUUCGGGCCUCGGACCCGGUCCGAUCCCGUCCCUUCUUCGGGGCUGUCCGCGAAUGGAGGUGUCCUCGGACGGAGUCGAAAGAUUCUCCGGUCCGCGACGCUACGGCUUGGAUGGUCCACCCGACCCGUCUUGAAACACGGACCAAGGAGUCUAACAUGCGCGCGAGUCGUUGGGUCGGAAACGCUCCGCUAAACCCAUAGGCGAAAUGAAAGUGAAGGCCACCGUACGGGCGGCCGAGGGAGGACGGGGCCGCUGACGCGGUCCCCGCACCCCCGGGGCGUCUGAUCCCUCAUCGCGAGGGGAGGCGCACCCAGAGCGCACACGUUGGGACCCGAAAGAUGGUGAACUAUGCCUGGCCAGGACGAAGUCAGGGGAAACCCUGAUGGAGGUCCGUAGCGAUUCUGACGUGCAAAUCGAUCGUCGGAGCUGGGUAUAGGGGCGAAAGACUAAUCGAACCAUCUAGUAGCUGGUUCCCUCCGAAGUUUCCCUCAGGAUAGCUUGCGCUCGGAGGAGAGUCUCAUCCGGUAAAGCGAAUGAUUAGAGGCCUUGGGGCCGAAACGGCUUCAACCUAUUCUCAAACUUUAAAUGGGUGAGAACUCCGGCUUGCUCGAUUACUCGAAGCCGGAGACGGGGACACGUCCCCCGGGAUCGGAGUGCACAGUGGGCCACUUUUGGUAAGCAGAACUGGCGCUGUGGGAUGAACCAAACGACGGGUUAAGGCGCCCGAAUCGACGCUCAUGGGAAACCAUGAAAGGUGUUGGUUGCUUAAGACAGCAGGACGGUGGCCAUGGAAGUCGGAAUCCGCUAAGGAGUGUGUAAUAACUCACCUGCCGAAGCAACUAGCCCUGAAAAUGGAUGGCGCUGAAGCGUCGUGCCUAUACCCGGCCGUCGCCGCAAGACGGACCCGGCCCCGCGCCGGGUGCCGCCUGACGCGGCGACGAGUAGGAGGGUCGCGGCGGCGAGCGCAGAAGGGUCUGGGCUCGAGCCUGCCUGGAGCCGCCGCCGGUGCAGAUCUUGGUGGUAGUAGCAAAUACUCCAGCGAGGCCCUGGAGGACUGAUGUGGAGAAGGGUUUCGUGUGAACAGCCGUUGCACACGAGUCAGUCGAUCCUAAGCCCUAGGAGAAAUCCGACGCCAACGGCGACGGGAAAAAACGAAAGAGCGAAUGAAACCCGUUGAUCGGGCGAAAGGGAAUCCGGUUCCUAUUCCGGAACCCGGCAGCGGAACCGCUGUUUGUCGGGCCCUCACAAGGGGUUCGUCAGGGUAACCUAAAAGGGCCCGGAGACGCCGUCGGGAGCCCCGGAAAGAGUUUUCUUUUCUGCAUGAGCUU
rnacentral:rRNA from 1 species